rnacentral:rRNA from 1 species
UGGGGAAUUUUGGACAAUGGGCGCAAGCCUGAUCCAGCAAUGCCGCGUGCAGGAUGAAGGCCUUCGGGUUGUAAACUGCUUUUGUACGGAACGAAAAGCCUCUCUCUAAUACAGGGGGGUGAUGACGGUACCGUAAGAAUAAGCACCGGCUAACUACGUGCCAGCAGCCGCGGUAAUACGUAGGGUGCAAGCGUUAAUCGGAAUUACUGGGCGUAAAGCGUGCGCAGGCGGUUUUGUAAGACAGUGGUGAAAUCCCCGGGCUCAACCUGGGAACUGCCAUUGUGACUGCAAGGCUGGAGUGCGGCAGAGGGGGGAUGGAAUUCCGCGUGUAGCAGUGAAAUGCGUAGAUAUGCGGAGGAACACCGAUGGCGAAGGCAAUCCCCUGGGCCUGCACUGACGCUCAUGCACGAAAGCGUGGGGAGCAAACAGGAUUAGAUACCCUGGGUAGUCCACGCCCUAAACGAUGUCAACUGGUUGCUGGGGG